GUUACUAUACUUUACUUAGAAGAUUUGGUUUGCAACUAAACAGUGGGCACAAGUGCUCUAGUACCA
rnacentral:tRNA from 1 species